UGGUGGGUAGUUUGACUGGGGCGGUCUCCUCCUAAAGAGUAACGGAGGAGCACGAAGGUUGGCUAAUCCUGGUCGGACAUCAGGAGGUUAGUGCAAUGGCAUAAGCCAGCUUGACUGCGAGCGUGACGGCGCGAGCAGGUGCGAAAGCAGGUCAUAGUGAUCCGGUGGUUCUGAAUGGAAGGGCCAUCGCUCAACGGAUAAAAGGUACUCCGGGGAUAACAGGCUGAUACCGCCCAAGAGUUCAUAUCGACGGCGGUGUUUGGCACCUCGAUGUCGGCUCAUCACAUCCUGGGGCUGAAGUAGGUCCCAAGGGUAUGGCUGUUCGCCAUUUAAAGUGGUACGCGAGCUGGGUUUAGAACGUCGUGAGACAGUUCGGUCCCUAUCUGCCGUGGGCGCUGGAGAACUGAGGGGGGCUGCUCCUAGUACGAGAGGACCGGAGUGGACGCAUCACUGGUGUUCGGGUUGUCAUGCCAAUGGCACUGCCCGGUAGCUAAAUGCGGAAGAGAUAAGUGCUGAAAGCAUCUAAGCACGAAACUUGCCCCGAGAUGAGUUCUCCCUGACUCCUUGAGAGUCCUGAAGGAACGUUGAAGACGACGACGUUGAUAGGCCGGGUGUGUAAGCGCAG
rnacentral:rRNA from 1 species